AACGGAGGGUGCAAGCGUUGUUCGGAAUUACUGGGCGUAAAGCGCGUGCAGGUGGCUUUUUAAGUUUCGUGUGAAAUCCCUCGGCUCAACCGAGGAACUGCGCGAAAUACUGAAGAGCUUGAAUACGGGAGAAGUGGGCGGAAUUCCCAGUGUAGAGGUGAAAUUCGUAGAUAUUGGGAGGAACACCGGUGGCGAAAGCGGCUCACUAGACCGAUAUUGACGCUCAUACGCGAGAGCAUGGGUAGCAAAC
rnacentral:rRNA from 1 species